rnacentral:rRNA from 1 species
GAUGAACGCUAGCGGCAGGCCUAAUACAUGCAAGUCGAACGGGUGGUCGCAAGACCACUAGUGGCGCACGGGUGCGUAACGCGUAACCAACCGGCCCCGAUCUGGGGGAUAGCCCGCCGAAAGGCGGAGUAAUACCGCAUAUACCCGCAGCCUGGCAUCAGGCAACGGGGAAAGAUUUAUUGGAUCGGGAUGGGGUUGCGUGACAUUAGCUAGUUGGCGGGGUAAGGGCCCACCAAGGCGACGAUGUCUAGGGGACCUGAGAGGGUGAUCCCCCACACUGGCACUGCGAUACGGGCCAGACUCCUACGGGAGGCAGCAGUAGGGAAUAUUGGGCAAUGGGCGAGAGCCUGACCCAGCCAUGCCGCGUGCCGGAUGAAGGCCUUCUGGGUUGUAAACGGCUUUUCUCAGGGAAGAAAAAGACCUUGCGAGGUACACUGACGGUACCUGAGGAAUAAGCACCGGCUAACUCCGUG